rnacentral:rRNA from 1 species
AUUGAACGCUGGCGGCAGGCCUAACACAUGCAAGUCGAGCGGGGUUUUCGGACCUAGCGGCGGACGGGUGAGUAAUGCGUAGGAAGCUACCCGAUAGAGGGGGAUACCAGUUGGAAACGACUGUUAAUACCGCAUAAUGUCUACGGACCAAAGUGUGGGACCUUCGGGCCACAUGCUAUCGGAUGCGCCUACGUGGGAUUAGCUAGUUGGUGAGGUAAUGGCUCACCAAGGCGACGAUCCCUAGCUGGUUUGAGAGGAUGAUCAGCCACACUGGAACGGAGACACGGUCCAGACUCCUACGGGAGGCAGCAGUGGGGAAUAUUGGACGAUGGGCGCAAGCCGGAUCCAGGCAUGGCGCGUGUGUGAAGAAGGCCUUCGGGUUGUAAAGCACUUUCAGUAGGGAGGAAGCGUUGUGUGUUAAUAGUACACAGCGUUGACGUUACCUACAGAAGAAGCACCGGCUAACUCUGUGCCAGCAGCCGCGGUAAAAC